UACGGGAGGCAGCAGUGGGGGAAUAUUGCACAAUGGGCGCAAGCCUGAUGCAGCCAUGCCGCGUGUAUGAAGAAGGCCUUCGGGUUGUAAAGUACUUUCAGUCGUGAGGAAGGUGUUAAGGUUAAUAACCUUAGCAAUUGACGUUAGCGACAGAAGAAGCACCGGCUAACUCCGUGCCAGCAGCCGCGGUAAUACGGAGGGUGCGAGCGUUAAUCGGAAUUACUGGGCGUAAAGGGCACGCAGGCGGUUAAUUAAGUUGGAUGUGAAAUCCCCGGGCUUAACCUGGGAAUGGCAUUCAAGACUGGUUAGCUAGAGUCUUGUAGAGGGGGUAGAAUUCCAUGUGUAGCGGUGAAAUGCGUAGAGAUGUGGAGGAAUACCGGUGGCGAAGGCGGCCCCUGGACAAAGACUGACGCUCAUGUGCGAAAGCGUGGGGAGCAAACAGGGAUUAGAUACC
rnacentral:rRNA from 1 species